UACGGAGGGGGCAAGCGUUGUUCGGAUUUACUGGGCGUAAAGGGUGUGUAGGCGGCCGCGUCAGUCUGGUGUGAAAUCUUCACCGCUUAACGGGAAGAAGUCGCUGGAAACUGCGUGGCUCGAGAAUGGUAGAGGCUAGCGGAAUUCCUGGUGUAGCGGUGGAAUGUGUAGAUAUCAGGAAGAACACCUGUGGCGAAGGCGGCUAGCUGGGCCAUCACUGACGCUGAGACACGAAAGCGUGGGGAGCAAACGGG
rnacentral:rRNA from 1 species